UACGAAGGGGGCUAGCGUUGUUCGGAUUUACUGGGCGUAAAGCGCACGUAGGCGGAUUGUUAAGUCGGGGGUGAAAUCCUGGAGCUCAACUCCAGAACUGCCUUCGAUACUGGCAAUCUCGAGUCCGGAAGAGGCGAGUGGAAUUCCUGGUGUAGCGGUGGAAUGCGCAGAUAUCAGGAGGAACACCAAUAGCGAAGGCAGCUCGCUGGGACGGUACUGACGCUAAGGUGCGAAAGCGUGGGGAGCGAACAGG
rnacentral:rRNA from 1 species